GCUAGCAUGGCGGAGUGGUUUGAGUGUUGGACUACAACUCUGGAGACCAGGGUUCGAUUCGCAGGUCAGGCA